UGUUCCUCUGGAUAACUUUGCGGAUCGCACGGUCUAGCACCGGCGACGGAUCAUUCAAGUGUCUGCCCUAUCAACUUUCGUCGGUACGGUAUUUGCCUACCGAGGUUCUUACGGGUGACGGGGAAUCAGGGUUCGAUUCCGGAGAGGGAGCCUGAGAAACGGCUACCACAUCCAAGGAAGGCAGCAGGCGCGCAAAUUACCCAUUCCCGACGCGGGGAGGUAGUGACGAAAAAUAACAAUGCAGGACUCGUUCGAGGCCCUGUAAUUGGAAUGAGUACACUUUAUAAGCUUUAACGAGUAUCCAUUGGAGGGCAAGUCUGGUGCCAGCAGCCGCGGUAAUUCCAGCUCCAAAAGUAUAUAUUUAAGUUGUUGCGGUUAAAAAGCUCGUAGUUGGAUUUUGGGCGCAGGCGGCCGGUCCGUCGCAAGGCGUGUACUGGACGUCCUGGCCUUCCCUCCGGUUCUCCGCCGGUGCUCUUGACUGAGUGUCGGCGGCGGCCGGAACGUUUACUUUGAAAAAAUUAGAGUGUUCAAAGCAGGCUCUCGAGCCUGGAUAAUGGUGCAUGGAAUAAUGGAAUAGGACCUCGGUUCUAUUUUGUUGGUUUUCGGAGCGCGAGGUAAUGAUUAAGAGGGACAGACGGGGGCAUUCGUACUGUGCCGUUAGAGGUGAAAUUCUUGGAUCGGCGCAAGACGAACGACUGCGAAAGCAUUUGCCAAGAAUGUUUUCUUUA
rnacentral:ncRNA from 1 species